GAACUUGAGCUGGAAUUUCUAUUUUGUAUACAUGUUUCUGCUCCAGGGACUUCAUUUAUUUCUGUCCAAGUGAGAUACUGUUGCACCUUUGUGAAGCUGAAAGUGUAUCCUACCUGGAAGAGGUGGCCAGCAAAACAUCAACUCAGGAUGUGGCAAAGUCUGUUGGACUCAAGGUUCUUGCGUUGCUAAAAAAUGUUUAAUGCUCCCUCUGAGGCAAGCUACCCGAGGGGCAACUGGAACUUAAUGCAAUGCGCUUGGCAGAUGUCUUGUCAGAUGAUUCAAAUUUUCCGUCAUUCAUCAUGAUAAACUUUAUGAGAAGGAUCUGUCAACAAGCUCGUUCGGUUCUUAUGGAAGGACUAUCAGAAACUGUCAGAUGGAUUCUUCUCUCUACUUCAAAGCUGACAAAGUAUCCACAAUUAGCAAGAACUUAUGUUCACUAUUAAGUCAUGAUUUUUGAAUGAAGAUGAGGAGGUAAUUUCAAUAUAGGUAAUCUUCUUCGUGGGUUAUUUAUAAGUCAUUUUGUGUCCCGGAUCGUUCGUGCUGCAUCCGAAGAUCAUUUAGUCCAUGACUAGCUUCGUAUAUUGGACUCUCGGCCCAGAUGUAAAAAAGAGUAGCCCAAUGCUACAUAUUUUCUGGAAUAAGCUUCAUAAAAAAGGAGUUUUAAUGCAGAAAAGGAAGGUAGGAAGGUAGUUUUACAAGCAAGUAGUUUUCCCAUACGUAUUCGAGGAUUCUGGUAACUCUACAUCAAAUCCUAGUCUUUGAGGAUUCUGGCUUCAGCAUCAGAAGCUCAGGACUAGAUAUCUUUUUAUUAUAAAUAACUUGUCCACUGCAAAUGUUGAAGCUAAAGCUAAAGAGUUUAUUGAAAUUUUGAAUUUUAUACUAUCCGUCCAUGUUUGGAACAGGCUCCAGCAUCAGAAGCUCAGGACUAGAUAUCUGGUUUGCGUUGUAUAUAGUUAUGGAGAGGGAGAGAUUUAGCUUGACACUACAUUCCUUACCUUAAAUAGUUCUCUGGAUGCAAUUUACCUUUGGAGUUACUCUUUCUGUUUGGCAUUUUGAAUUAUUUUGAAAUAAAAUUGAAACAUUUGAACAGAGAUAUUGUGCAAGCCAUUUAUGUAAACUGCAAGGUUUGAUUUUUCUACUUACUUUAUUCAUUUUGGAAAGCCGGUUUUUAUUCUUGGUAUUUGUACUAUGUCUAGGUUCUGUUUUAAACAGAACUUGUAAAAUCUAGUGUGGAAGAACUAUCACUGCUGAAAAUUUAGGAAGCUGGCUUGGGAAGAUUACUAUUGGAAAAAAUCAAGUUCUAAGGGAACGAGUGAUAGAUUCUUCUUUUCGUCUGUUUUGUUUUUGAGUUUACUUCAUAAACUUGGAGUUGGGUUGUCUGAAAUCCUCAUGUUGCAAUAAAUAUUAUUAUCUCAUCUUCUUGAUUCAAAUUUUUUUCUGACACAUGGAAGUAUAUUAUUUGUUGAAUGCUUUUAAGGGACUCAGGAUGCCUGUUGGUCCUUUUACCUCAAAGGUACGAUCCAUGGUUUAUUUUUUAUGUACUUGCGAGUCCAAGUUUAUUUCAACUCAAAAUGUGUUUGUUUUAGAUUUUCAAAGCCUGUUCAAACAGCAUUGCAUACGGGCCUCCUCACCCUUGGGCAGUGGUUCUGUUUAAGCAUUUAAGUGUUGACCUCAAGGAUGUCACACCCUCUUCUCUUCUAAAGGAUGUAGUUUGACAAUUUGAAGGAUCAGUCAUUAAGCAUCAACUUGUUACUCACCUUAUGCUGGGCAUUGCUUUACGAGCUAUUUCAGUUGCUCAUACUGAACCUGAUGUUGGCCAUAGUUCCAAUACUAAUCACCGACCCGGUCUUAUUCAAUCUUCUGCUCCACAGAUUGAGAUUGCAGGCCCACCAUUUUCUCUGAUCGGACCCGGCAGCAUAUUGUCUGGAUUAGCAAUUCCCUCUUUGAGAUCCCACUACAGCAGAGACCCCCAAGUUCUCUAGAUGAGAGUGGACUCCUAAUUUCAUGAAGCCAACACAAUACACCUACCCUU